rnacentral:rRNA from 1 species
GUGUCAGCAGCCGCGGUAAUACGUAGGGUGCAGGCGUUAAUCGGAAUUACUGGGCGUAAAGCGUGCGCAGGCGGUUUGUUAAGACAGGUGUGAAAUCCCCGGGCUUAACCUGGGAACUGCGCUUGUUACUGGCAGACUUGAGUGUGGCAGAGGGGGGUGGAAUUCCAGGUGUAGCAGUGAAAUGCGUAGAGAUCUGGAGGAACACCGAUGGCGAAGGCAGCCCCCUGGGUUAACACUGACGCUCAUGCACGAAAGCGUGGGGAGCAAACAGGAUUAGAAACCCCCGUAGUCC